AUGGGGUGCAGCAGGGGCGAAAACUUUACAAUGUGCGAAAGCACGAUAAGGGAACUCUGAGUGCCUCCAAAGGAGGCUGUUCAGGUGUCUAAAAAGCAUCUGAAGUAAGGGCUGGGUAAGACCGGUGCCAGCCGCCGCGGUAACACCGGCAGCCCAAGUGGUGGCCACUUUUACUGGGUCUAAAGCGUUCGUAGCCGGCUAUGUAAGUUCCUUGGGAAAUUUGACCGCUUAACGGUUAAGCUUCCAGGGAAUACUGCUUGGCUUGGGACCGGGAGAGGUCAGAGGUACCUCAAGGGUAGGGGUGAAAUCCGUUAAUCCUUGGGGGACCGCCAGUAGCGAAGGCGUCUGACCAGAUCGGAUCCGACGGUGAGGGACGAAGGCUAGGGUAGCGAACCGGAUUAGAUACCCGGGUAGUCCUAGCUGUAAACGAUGCGGGCUAGGUGUUGGCAUUACUGCGAGUGAUGCCAGUGCCGAAGGGAAGCCGUUAAGCCCGCCAUCUGGGGAGUACGGCCGCAAGGCUGAAACUUAAAGGAAUUGGCGGGGGAGCAC
rnacentral:rRNA from 1 species